CCUCGGCCUCCGGAGCAGCUGGGCUCACGGGCGGAGCACCGCGCCCAGCUCAGCCCUCCUUUUCUGGGUCCUGGCUCGUUCGCCAUCCACCUCCCCUCCCGUUCCAGGCAGAGAGGCCCUCUGUGUCUGGCUCAUGCCUGUAACUACAAGCCCAGGCUGGGCCCCCAGUCAGAGCUGCACAGCUCAUGCCCGAGGAAAGAGCACAAACGGAAGGCAGCAGUGGGAGGGAGGCAGGGAGGGAGGCGUCCUAAGCAGGGGACAGGAGUGGCGGGGAGUGAGGCACCCUGAACCCCUCAGCCCACCACAGGGGUGUACACCCCGCGGCUCCAGCCUACAGCGCCCGUGUGGGAAGGUGGCCCGGGAUGGGCAGCGCUCCAGGCCUUUGAGGGAAGCCAGAAACUCUUCUAUCUAUGUGAUGCCUCGAUCAGAAACCACUGCUGUUUUUAAAAAUCCACAUCUGCUGUGGACUGGGGUGGGGGCUGCCAUGGUCCCCAGGGGCCACCUCGCCGGCACACUCAGUGGUUCCAGGCGUCCGGGAGACGAAGCCCUAGAGUCACCUCCACUUCGAGGCAAGCUGCCUCUUCUUUUCCCAACGUCAUCCACCCUCCGGUUCACGCCAGGCCUGGGCAUCUUUCCUCCUCCACUCUGGAGCAGAGAUCAAAGAAAUAGGAUUUGCAGCAGCUUAUAGGAGGAGGGUACAUCCGCUAAAACCACUAGGCCAGAGGUGAAACGCCAGGGAAGAGCCAGCGGGGAGAUGCCCGCCUUUCCUGGCUCGGGAGGCCUGGCUUAUAUUUGAGCUGGAGCCUUCGUUUGAGUCGUCUCUGCAGAUGAUGCAAAACUCCUCGUGGGUGUUUAUUUUCCUCGGGAGGGAGGUGGAAGGCAGAAUGCCGAAGAAGCUGGAAAAAAUGCCAAGCAGGAUAACACAGAACAGGGCUUCCUACCCUCUUACUGCUGCCAAAUCUAGAAGCAAAAGAACCAUUAUUUAUUUAAUGUUUUUCUUUUACUUGUAUUAUUUCUUUAAAAAUCCUUACGUUGGUCCCCAUCCUGCAGAAUAAUAGCCAUGAAUUUAUGGUUCUAAUUGAUGAGUUCGCCAUAGAUGUAUUUUUUCCAAGGGUGCCUAAAUACUUCGGUCUAAGAUUAUUUUUAAAACACAACCCCCCUCCUCCUGUGCCACCUACAGCCACCCUGCCCACCAGCCGCCGUGCCUGUGUGGAACAUUUUCAAGUACUGGGCUAUCAGAUGCCAGGGAUUACAUUGCCAACUACCAGUCCUCCCUUCCUUCCAGCUGACAGAACCCUGACUUUCUUCAGCUGGCUCUGGGCCCAGCCCUAGGGAGGAAACCACAUUUGAUUUAAGCCAACCAUGGCCAUCUUAUGCUCCUGGUCCUGUGACUGGUCUGAGGUGGUCACAUGCCCCAGUUCUGGCCAAAGAGGUGAUGAGUGAGCUUCGGCAGCCAUCUGUGACACGAGGACCAGCUGAAGAUGAGUUGCUGACUCACUGUUGAUGUGUAAGCGGAGAGUGCAAAGACCCUGUGUCCUUAUGGCAACCUUGAGGUGCCAAAUCCACCCAGUGGUCUGCAGUCUCCAGAUGUCUUUUAAACAAACAGUAAAUGUGACUGCAGUCAACCUACCCCGCUAUGACAGAGCCUCUGAUCCUAUCCUAAUGGGCCAGACUGGCUUUGUGCUUUGGAGCUGGACUAGGGUCAAACACUCAUGGUCAUAGUCUAGCUCCAUCAAACGCUCCUGGCUCAGUCCCCCUGCCCAGUGACUUAACUUUUCCAAGCCUUAGUUUUCCUGUCUAUAAGAUGGAAAUAAAAAGACUGCUUAUCGCG